rnacentral:rRNA from 1 species
AUUGAACGCUGGCGGCAGGCUUAACACAUGCAAGUCGAGCGGAGAGAGGUAGCUUGCUACUGAUCUUAGCGACGGACGGGUGAGUAAUGCUUAGGAAUCUGCCUAUUAGUGGGGGACAACAUUUCGAAAGGAAUGCUAAUACCGCAUACGUCCUACGGGAGAAAGCAGGGGAUCUUCGGACCUUGCGCUAAUAGAUGAGCCUAAGUCGGAUUAGCUAGUUGGUGGGGUAAAGGCCUACCAAGGCGACGAUCUGUAGCGGGUCUGAGAGGAUGAUCCGCCACACUGGGACUGAGACACGGCCCAGACUCCUACGGGAGGCAGCAGUGGGGAAUAUCGGACAAUGGGCGGAAGCCUGAUCCAGCCAUGCCGCGUGUGUGAAGAAGGCCUUAUGGUUGUAAAGCACUUUAAGCGAGGAGGAGGCUACUUUAGUUAAUACCUAGAGAUAGUGGACGUUACUCGCAGAAUAAGCACCGGCUAACUCUGUGCCAGCAGCCGCCGUAAAAC